UUCACAUCCUAGGGCAAUUAAUUUGUUUUACAGAUAAUGACUAUUAGUUGGGCCAUACGAAGCACCAGUUUUUACUCUGGAUGCCAUGUAAGUGAAAUAUAGUGUGCUUUCUAUAAUUUGGUUUUUGAUUUAUCGUUUCAGUUUUGUGCAUGUUUUCCUUCAUAUUGAAAACUGCAUGAUAUUCUGUAGCUUCUUUAGCAAGAGUAUUCUCUGGAUAUACUGCCCAUAAGAAAAUGUACUUUCUAUUGAUUAGCGCUUAAGGAAACCAUGGCUGUCCUCAAGGAAAACAUUAAUGAAGACGAGUUUGAGAGCUUCACACAGAAACAAGCAUAAAAAAGGCUUCAGGUUUUGGGAGCUGCACACGGAAACAAGCAUCAAGAGCACUUCUUUGUACUGCUAAUCCUAACAUGUAGAACUUUGUUUUCAGUUGCUUUACCAUGUAAUUUUCAUUUGUUUGAUCACCCUAAAUAUAUUGUUCUGCAUAUGG